AUUGAACGCUGGCGGAAUGCUUUACACAUGCAAGUCGAACGGUAGAGGGGCAACCCUUGAGAGUGGCGAACGGGUGAGUAAUGUAUCGGAACAUGCCCAGUCGUGGGGGAUAACGUAGCGAAAGUUACGCUAAUACCGCAUACGAUCUAUGGAUGAAAGCGGGGGAUCGCAAGACCUCGCGCGAUUGGAGUGGCCGAUAUCAGAUUAGGUAGUUGGUGGGGUAAAGGCCUACCAAGCCGACGAUCUGUAGCUGGUCUGAGAGGACGACCAGCCACACUGGGACUGAGACACGGCCCAGACUCCUACGGGGGGCAGCAGUGGGGAAUUUUGGACAAUGGGCGAAAGCCUGAUCCAGCCAUUCCGCGUGCAGGAAGAAGGCCUUCGGGUUGUAAACUGCUUUUGUACGGAACGAAACGCGCUGAGUUAAUACCUCGGCGUAAUGACGGUACCGUAAGAAUAAGCACCGGCUAACUACGUGCCAGCAGCCGCCGUAACAC
rnacentral:rRNA from 1 species